CACAGUGUCAAAUCUGUGGAGAGUUGAUUUUCAUGCCAGACAGAACAGAACGGGAACCAAUGGCUGCCUGGAUGGAGACUUCUCAUUUGAACACUGGUUGGCUUUGGAAAAUGGUUGGCAGUGAUGGUCCGUUGACAUGAUUGGUAGUAAACUGGCAAAAACACGCAAGCACCAACACUCCUUUUUAACAAACUGUGGCUAUCCAGAGAACGAUUUAAAUGUUUGCCUCAUCUGUAAGAUCUUCCUUAAACAGUAUUGCCUUGUCGGGCUCACAUCAGGUUCUGUUUCAGCUCUACUCGGAAUAAGAUUAACAACCACACUGUUGUCUUUGUCUGGGAAAGUCUGUGCACUCACACAUAAGACAAGUCUUUUAUGGAUUCACUUGCCCAAGUCAAACUGACACAACUGAGUUUUCUGUGGCAACAACUCUAGGUCCUGUGAGUAUCAAUUAUAGAACGGACAAGUGUACUGUAGGUAGUUUAUCAAUAUGCUCCAUUCCAGUCAUAUGCAAGCCUAUUCCACUACUAGUGUGCAGUUACUUUAAAGAAAUGGAUAAGGAAUUUGGAUGUUGAGUCAAAAGUUUGAAAUCUAUGGCCGGUAACACGUGAUGAUUUAUUGUGUAAACAGAGGAA